GAAGUGCGACAAGUGUCAUGACUUGCAGAUUCCCGAGAGCUGACAAAUUUCUGAAUGCAAAUGGCGGCCGCUUACAACGGCCAUGUAUUGCAGAGUGUAGUUGUUCAUACUCAUCAUCCCCUAUAGCCAUACGGUGGGCUCUAGGAUUGGGAUCUGCGCUUAGGAGCUCCGCCCUGAGUGUUAAAACUGGAGCGUCCUGGUAAGACUAGCUUGUCUAGUCCCCGGGCGACUUCGAAAAGGCAAUCCUAAUUGUCACGACGAAGUUAUGCUCUAUAAAAUUUAGGCAGCCACCUCUGCGAUGCAGGAAUACCCGCUGAACUUAA
rnacentral:misc_RNA from 1 species